GACGAACGCUGGCGGCGUGCUUAACACAUGCAAGUCGAACGGAAAGGCCCUGCUUUUGUGGGGUGCUCGAGUGGCGAACGGGUGAGUAACACGUGAGUAACCUGCCCUUGACUUUGGGAUAACUUCAGGAAACUGGGGCUAAUACCGGAUAGGAGCUCCUGCUGCAUGGUGGGGGUUGGAAAGUUUCGGCGGUUGGGGACGGACUCGCGGCUUAUCAGCUUGUUGGUGGGGUAGUGGCUUACCAAGGCUUUGACGGGUAGCCGGCCUGAGAGGGUGACCGGCACAAUGGGGACUGAGAUCGGGCCCGGACUCCUCCGGGGGGCGGCGGUGGGGAAUAUUGCACAUUGGCCGGAGGCGUGAUGCAGCACCGCCGCGUGCGGAAUAACGGCCUUCGGUUUGUAAACCGCUUGCGCCUGUAACGAAGCGGAAGGAACGCUAAUGGUUAAAGAGGCACCGCCUAACUACUU
rnacentral:rRNA from 1 species